rnacentral:tRNA from 1 species
UCAGUGGUAGCUUAGUGAUAGAGUUCUUGCCUUCCAUGAAGGAGACCCAGGUUCAACUCCCGGCCAAUGCA